rnacentral:tRNA from 1 species
GCCUCAUUAGCUCAGGGGUAGAGCAGUAGUCUCGUAAACUGAAGGUCGUUUGGCAUGAGGCU